rnacentral:misc_RNA from 1 species
UAGUUUGAGUGUAGUUCCAGACAUCCUAGCUGUCCGGACGUACACCAAUCACCGGAAUAAUAGAAUGUAUAAACUGCUAAAUAUAGGGAUGUUACAUGAUACAUCAAAAUGGGUAACAACUAGAUCCUCUUUUAGAAAUAUAUAUAAUAAUCUUUUAUUCAUUUUACAAAUAGAACCUUAGUCCAUAUACGAGGCCAUUAAUGAUGAAGGUUAGUUACUUACUAUGCAAGAAAAACUCAACCAAUUUGAAAGGAAUAAGGUUUGAACCUUAGUUUAUAGGCCUAAAAACCAUAGAUCCAUAGACACCAAAUGGAUGUUUAGAAAUAAACUAGAUAAAGAUGCAUGGCAACAUAAUUAGGAAUAAAGCUAGAUUAAUAGCCAAAGGCUAUAACUAAGAGGAAUGCAUUGACUAUAAUGAGAUUUUUGCCCUCGUAGCUAGAUUAUAGGCCAUUAGAAUCUUGCUUGCAUAUGCAUCAUACAUGAAUUUUAA